UCGUCUUUUCCAUUCUCCAGCCCUUUUCAUCCUUCCCAUUGUGGUGGCUGGGAACACUUUUUUGAACAUGCAAGUGGAUUUAUGCUUGAAAUUGACUUGGUUCGCUGCGUUACAGUGGGAUAUAUUUGUUCACACCCAAAAUCCAUCACCGGUUCCUCCAUCAGUAAGUUUUGUGCUUCUGUCUCUGGAGCAUUCUCUUCUCUAAGUCACUUGAUAUAAUAUUCUUUAUAUUCCAAAAUUGACCCACAGUUCAUCUAUCAUUAAUUAAUUAGUUGCUGUCCAAUUCAGAUAAUCAAAGAAAUCCAAUCUCUGAUUUGGGUUUUUUAUUUAAGAUAAUGAAGUUCUCUUGUGACUUUUCAGUUUCCUCACUACUUAGUAGCAGUAAAAUGGACACCUUUUUUGCAUUUUUUUCCAACCAUGCAUGUGUUUCAAAAUAAAAUUUUUGGGUCUGAUAUUCUCUGAUUUUUGUCAAAUUAUUCUCUUGCAGUGCAUGUUCUAGCUAUGGCGUGACAUACAGAGUGGAAGUUAAGAUGUUUUCUCUAAUUAUUUGAUGUAUUCGGUAUUGUUGCUUUGUUUUGGAAUGAACUUAGUGGUGAGCAUACUGCAUUUUUUUGUGAGUUUCAUUGCAAAUCCCGCAUAUUAAUCUUUUUACAGUAUCAGACUACACUGAUAAAAUGUUAGGAGUUAGGUCACAGUAGUGUUUAUUCAGACUAUUAAUUGAUUAAGUUCUCGCAGGUAACCUAACCUUUUGUUUUAUAGACGUUAUUGCUGUUACUU
rnacentral:lncRNA from 1 species